UAUUCUCAACCCUCCUGUGGUUUUUGUUUUCGCAAAGUCUGCAGGUUUGGGAUUGGACUUGGAGGUUUUAUUGCCGGGCUUCCUCUUUCGAAGCUUGGCUCCUCUGAAAUGCAUUAGCUUGAAUGAUUUUUACCCAAGCAUGAUCCAGCGUGAUAAUUGUCUACGCUGCCUCAUCGUGGUGAAACAACCUUGGUUGUUUUCGUUCAGGCUUCGAACCGUCUCCUACGGAGACAAACUCAUCUGAAC
rnacentral:misc_RNA from 1 species